UCGAAGAGGCCGAGAUCCCAGAGGUCAACCCAAGGGAUCAGGAGCUGGACGUGGAGAGUUUCAUCAGUUCCCAGAGGUACUAGCUGGAGGGGCAGAUCCAGAGCUCAUGGAAGCAGAAGACUUUCCUUAAGAGCCCAUCCUGGGGCUGGGGGAGGAGCGUCCAGAGGCCAAGCACCGUACAGAGGAGGCUGCACAACGCUGCUGCUGACGAAGAGCCAUCCCUUGGAGAGAGUUCUUCCUUCCCGGGGGCCGAGACUCCGCAAGCCAGCGUGGAGGACGAGGGGUCGGAAGGGGACGGUGACACCAGUUCCCCCAGAGUCCCGAAGCCAAAGAAGUGGCUAAUCAAGAGGCUGCUGAACACUGGAGUGGUGGAAGACUCG